rnacentral:rRNA from 1 species
GUGCCAGCAGCCGCGGUAAUACGAAGGUGGCAAGCGUUGUUCGGAUUUACUGGGCGUAAAGGGAGCGUAGGCGGUUCGGUAAGCCCUCCGGGAAAUCUUCCGGCUUAACCGGGAAAGGUCGGAGGGGACUGCCUUGCUAGAGGACGGGAGAGGAGCGCGGAAUUCCCGGUGUAGCGGUGAAAUGCGUAGAGAUCGGGAGGAAGGCCGGUGGCGAAGGCGGCGCUCUGGAACGUUCCUGACGCUGAGGCUCGAAAGCGUGGGGAGCAAACAGGAUUAGAAACCCUCGUAGUCC